CGCGAAGGCGUGGGGAGCAAACAGGAUUAGAUACACUGGUAGUCCACGCUGUAAACGAUGAAUGUUAAAUAUGGGAAGUUUUACUUUCUGUAUUACAGCUAACGCGUUAAACAUUCCGCCUGGGGACUACGGUCGCAAGAUUAAAACUCAAAGGAAUUGACGGGGACCCGCACACGCGGUGGAGCAUGUGGUUUAAUUUGAUGCAACGCGAAAAACCUUACCACUCCUUGACAUGGAAAUUAUACCUAUUCGAAGGGAUAGGGUCGGUUCGUCCGGGUUUCACACAGGUGUUGCAUGGCUGUCGUCAGCUCGUGUCGUGAGAUGUUGGGUUAAGUCCCGCAACGAGCGCAACCCUCAUCCUUAGUUACCAUCAGGUAAUGCUGGGGACUUUAAGGAAACUGCCAGUGAUAAACUGGAGGAAGGUGGGGAUGAUGUCAAGUCAUCAUGGCCCCUAUGGAGUGGGCUACACACGUGCUACAAUGGUGGCUACAAUGGGCUGCAAAGUCGCGAGGCUAAGCUAAUCCCUUAAAAGCCAUCUCAGUUCGGAUUGUACUUUGCAACUCGAGUGCAUGAAGUUGGAAUCGCUAGUAAUCGUGGAUCAGCACGCCACGGUGAAUACGUUCUCGGGUCUUGUACACACUGCCCGUCACGCCAUGGAAAUUGGUUUCACUCGAAGCUACCUCCCACCCCGCAAGGAGGGNGCUAUUCAAAGUGGGAUCGGUGACUGGGGUGAAGUUGUAACAAGGUAGCAGUCGUGGAAUCUGCG
rnacentral:rRNA from 1 species